rnacentral:rRNA from 1 species
CUACGGAGGGUGCAAGCGUUAAUCGGAAUUACUGGGCGUAAAGCGCGCGUAGGCGGAUAUUUAAGUCUCAUGUGAAAGCCCUGGGCUCAACCUGGGAACUGCAUGGGAUACUGGGUAUCGAGAAUACAGUAGAGGGUAGUGGAAUUUCAGGUGUAGCGGUGAAAUGCGUAGAGAUCUGAAGGAACAUCAGUGGCGAAGGCGACUACCUGGACUGAUAUUGACGCUGAGGUGCGAAAGCGUGGGGAGCAAACGGGAUUAGAAACCCUAGUAGUCC